GACAGAGGUGGCAAGCGUUGUUCGGAUUUAUUGGGCGUAAAGAGCUCGUAGGCGGUGUGUCACGUCGGCCGUGAAAACCUGGGGCUUAACUCUGGGCGUGCGGUCGAUACGGGCAUCACUAGAGUUCGGCAGGGGAGACUGGAAUUCCUGGUGUAGCGGUGAAAUGCGCAGAUAUCAGGAGGAACACCGGUGGCGAAGGCGGGUCUCUGGGCCGAUACUGACGCUGAGGAGCGAAAGCGUGGGGAGCGAACAGG
rnacentral:rRNA from 1 species